CCUACGGGAGGCAGCAGUGAGGAAUAUUGGUCAAUGGGCGAGAGCCUGAACCAGCCACGUCGCGUGAAGGAUGACGGCCCUACGGGUUGUAAACUUCUUUUGUCAGGGAGCAAAUGAGUCCACGUGUGGGCUUAGCGAGAGUACCUGAAGAAAAAGCAUCGGCUAACUCCGUGCCAGCAGCCGCGGUAAUACGGGGGAUGCGAGCUUUAUCCGGAUUUCUGGGGGUAAGAGGGUGCGUAGGCGGAAUAUCAAGUCAGCGGGAAAAAUGCGGGGCUAAACCCCGUCGUGCCGUUGAGACUGAUGUUCUUGAGUGGGCGAGAGGUAUGCGGAAUGCGUGGUGUAGCGGUGAAAUGCAUAGAUAUCACGAAGAACACCGGUGGCGAAGGCAGCAUACUGGCCCCCAACUGACGCUGAAGCACGAAAGCGUGGGUAUCGAACAGGAUUAGAUACCCUGGUAGUC
rnacentral:rRNA from 1 species